AUUGAACGCUGGCGGCAGGCCUAACACAUGCACGUCGAACGAGUGGCGGACGGGUGAGUAAUGUCUGGGAAACUGCCUGAUGGAGGGGGAUAACUACUGGAAACGGUAGCUAAUACCGCAUACCAUCAGAUGUGCCCAGAUGGGAUUAGCUUGUGGGGGGGGUAAAGGCUCACCUAGGCGACGAUCCCUAGCUGGUCUGAGAGGAUGACCCGCCACACGGGCACUGGGACACGGUCCAGACUCCUACGUGAGUCAGCAGUGGGGAAUAUUGCACAAUGGGCGCAAGCCUGAUGCAGCCAUGCCGCGUGUAUGAAGAAGGCCUGCGGGUUGUAAAGUACUUUCAGCGGGGAGGCGUUACCCGCAGAAGAAGCACCGGCUAACUCCGUGCCAGCAGCCGCGGUAAUUC
rnacentral:rRNA from 1 species